GAGGAGUCAGCAGUUUGCUGGCUGAAGCUGUAGGAAGAACAUCACCUGGCUGGAACUGCUGCUCAUAACAUCUUGGAGAUCUGGAGCACUUGGCAGUGAAGCCGACCAUUCUCUCCUUCACCUGGUUCAUGAGGCUAAAUGUUCCCCUAGACAUCUUACAGGAAUUCCACUGAUAAUUAUUGCCUCCACCAGUUAGAGCAAGGGGAGACAACCACAUUGGCAGGAGAGGCUGGGAAAGGAAGCUCAAGGCAGGUUUUUAAUCUGAUGUUUCCUCUCCAGAUCACAGACAUUUUUUUGGGAUUGAUUUCUUUACAGAUGUACUUCUGUAUGUUAUCAGCUUCAGGGAGAUGAACUGAUGGUGGAUGGGUGACAGGAAGGAAAGAAGCACAAGUCUGAGCAUAGGAAUUUUGCUAGCAGUUUCCAAAGCAGUGUAAAAGACCUAAAGUGGGAGCAGAAUAUAUGACUACCAAUGAUGGAUGUCAUUGAGACUGCAAAAAGAAAUGAUAUAAUGAAUGGUUUCUCUGACACAGUAGAAAAUGUUUGGAUAAAAGUGAAGGGUAAUAAAUAAACUCACAUUGGUAUAGGUCCCCAAGGCAGUGUGGGGUUAGAAAUACUCUCUGAUCUUCCUUCUGUAAAGGAAACAAGAAGGAAGGCAGGAGCAGUUUUGUAGUAAAUAUGAAUAAGUAAAGUUGCAUUUGGCUGCAGAGUCGACAUAAACC